rnacentral:rRNA from 1 species
AUGAACGCUGGCGGCGUGCUUAACACAUGCAAGUCGAACGAAGCACUUUAUUUGAUUUCCUUCGGGACUGAUUAUUUUGUGACUGAGUGGCGGACGGGUGAGUAACGCGUGGGUAACCUGCCUUGUACAGGGGGAUAACAGUUGGAAACGGCUGCUAAUACCGCAUAAGCGCACAGCAUCGCAUGAUGCAGUGUGAAAAACUCCGGUGGUAUAAGAUGGACCCGCGUUGGAUUAGCUAGUUGGUGAGGUAACGGCCCACCAAGGCGACGAUCCAUAGCCGACCUGAGAGGGUGACCGGCCACAUUGGGACUGAGACACGGCCCAAACUCCUACGGGAAGCAGCAGUGGGGAAUAUUGCACAAUGGGCGAAAGCCUGAUGCAGCGACGCCGCGUGAGCGAAGAAGUAUUUCGGUAUGUAAAGCUCUAUCAGCAGGGAAGAUAAUGACGGUACCUGACUAAGAAGCACCGGCUAAAUACGUG